UAGGGAAUCUUCGGCAAUGGACGAAAGUCUGACCGAGCAACGCCGCGUGAGUGAAGAAGGUUUUCGGAUCGUAAAACUCUGUUGUUAGAGAAGAACAAGGACGUUAGUAACUGAACGUCCCCUGACGGUAUCUAACCAGAAAGCCACGGCUAACUACGUGCCAGCAGCCGCGGUAAUACGUAGGUGGCAAGCGUUGUUCGGAUUUAUUGGGCGUAAAGCGAGCGCAGGCGGUUUCUUAAGUCUGAUGUGAAAGCCCCCGGCUCAACCGGGGAGGUUCAUUGGAUACUGGGAGACUUGAGUGCAGAAGAGGAGAGUGGAAUUCCAUGUGUAGCGGUGAAAUGCGUAGAUAUAUGGAGGAACACCAGUGGAGAAGGCGGCUCUCUGGUCUGUAACUGACGCUGAGGCUCGAAAGCGUGGGGAGCAAACAGG
rnacentral:rRNA from 1 species